AGAAAGGAAGAACUAGCGCGGGGGUCAAAGUUCAAAGAGUGCCGUCAGGAGCCGGAAGUGUGAUUACGUCUCCUUCGUUCUGUUCCUGGAAACGAAAGAAUGUUAAUUUGGGCGCUGCCAUCUUGUACGGCAGGGGAGGAGUAGAAGGUUUUGAAUUGUUUCAGGAUGGAGGAAAUGUAAAAGAUCACAGGUGGUCACCACUAACAUGGAGAUAAGUCUUUAAGAGGCUGGUACAAAUUCUCUUGCAGUGGAUCAUAUGUGCAUCUCAAGAUGGGGUCAAGUUUGAAGGACUUCAACAUUUGUCUGGACACUGUAAGCUGCAUUUUCAGACAUCAUGCAGACUUCAUCUGAUUUAAUUUAACUACUUCCAAAAUGGACCAGAGACGUUAAAAGAAUCCAGAGUUCAUUUCCACUUCAAUGGAGCUUGUUCGACAAACAAAAUUAUUUUGUAGCAAGGAGGAAAACAGUUUAGCAGAAUGCAGCCCUCACGUAUACCGUACAUAACAUCACAUUUGGGCUGAAACUUUUUCUGUCAAAAAAUGUCAUAACCCCGUAAGAAAGAGAAUUAAAAUCCUGUUAUUUUAAUUUA